CAGAUCGAGGCUUCGAGUGGAUUUUUCGUAGAGGCCGGAUGUAUGUGUGGCUAUGAGCAACCAAUAGGGAUCCUCUCUACUAUGUCUCUGAGGAACAAAAAUCAUCGAUCUUUGAUCAGGUAUGGAGUUCUGAACUCAAAUUAGAAGUAGAUGUGAUCUACUGCUUAUAUGCAUGCAUGCUAAUUUUAUCUUUAGAUUAUUUCAGAUUUUAUAUGCAACAUAAUGUGUCAUAGAUCUUAGAGUAGGUUGAUUUGAUGAUUAGAUCAUAUGCAUGUUAGAUUAAUUUGAUUAAUUUAGUUAUCUUUCGUCGUAAUUUUUUUCGAAAAAAUUUUAAAAUACAUGCAUGAAAUCGCCUACGCAACCCAACUGUGAUAUCAGAGCCCAG
rnacentral:lncRNA from 1 species